rnacentral:rRNA from 1 species
UUGGGUUGUAAAGCUCUUUCGUCGGGGAAGAAAAUGACUGUACCCGAAUAAGAAGGUCCGGCUAACUUCGUGCCAGCAGCCGCGGUAAUACGAAGGGACCUAGCGUAGUUCGGAAUUACUGGGCUUAAAGAGUUCGUAGGUGGUUGAAAAAGUUGGUGGUGAAAUCCCAGAGCUUAACUCUGGAACUGCCAUCAAAACUUUUCAGCUAGAGUAUGAUAGAGGAAAGCAGAAUUUCUAGUGUAGAGGUGAAAUUCGUAGAUAUUAGAAAGAAUACCAAUUGCGAAGGCAGCUUUCUGGAUCAUUACUGACACUGAGGAACGAAAGCAUGGGUAGCGAAGAGGAUUAGAUACCCUCGUAGUCCAUGCCGUAAACGAUGUGUGUUAGACGUUGGAAAUUUAUUUUCAGUGUCGCAGCGAAAGCGAUAAACACACCGCCUGGGGAGUACGACCGCAAGGUUAAAACUCAAAUGAAUUGACGGGGACCCGCACAAGUAGUGGAGCAUGUGGUUUAAUUCGAAGAUACGCGCAGAACCUUACCAACACUUGACAUGUUCGUCGCGACUUUAAGAGAUUAAAGUUUUCGGUUCGGCCGGACGAAACACAGGUGCUGCAUGGCUGUCGUCAGCUCGUGUCGUGAGAUGUUGGGUUAAGUCCCGCAACGAGCGCAACCCUCACUUUUAGUUGCCAUCAUUUAGUUGGGCACUCUGAAAGAACUGCCAGUGAUAAGCUGGAGGAAGGUGGGGAUGACGUCAAGUCCUCAUGGCCCUUACGUGUUGGGCUACACACGUGCUACAAUGGUAUCUACAACAGGAAGCAAAACCGCGAGGUUAAGCAAAUCCUUAAAAGAUACCUCAGUUCG